GGGAAUAUAGCUCAAUUGGUAGAGUGUGUGCUUUGCAUGCACAAGGCCCUGAGUUCAAUCCCCAACACCA
rnacentral:tRNA from 1 species